rnacentral:rRNA from 1 species
UACGGUGAAUACGUUCCCGGACCUUGUACACACCCGCCCCGUCAAGCCAUGGAAGCUGGGUGUACCUAAAGUCGGUAACCGCAAGGAGCCCGCCUAGGGUAAAACUAGUAACUGGGGCU